GCGCUAAAGAAGAGCAGCUGGGGAGAUACUGUUACUGAGCUGGAUGAAGAAAAACAAAUCUGUGUUGAUUUGGCACACAAAGGUGUCAGUGGUUGCUGCUGUCCUGCUGUUUCCACUUCUGUUAGAGGAGAGUCUGAGAUCUCUUGAUGUCAUCAGUGAGGAACCAGAUACACCCAAGCCUGUGCUGUUUAUAAAGGGACAUGCCUUGGAUGCAGAGUCUCUUUAAGAAAUAAUGAAGGAAGUGGAGGAGGAGGUCUGUGAAGUAGACGAUGUGAACACAGCUCUACACUUCAACUUCAACACUGAAUAUGCUUCAACGUUCAGAGACACCC